AUAGUGAACUCAUGUGCCCGGAAGGGCGCAGGAGGGGAAGGUCUGUCUGCUCGGUCCAUCCUGGGCCCUUUGCUGCUGGGCUGUGGGCGCCACAGAGGCUCCCCCAAAGAGAGCAGAUUUUAGACAAAACUCCAGAAGGAGGAAAGUAUGUUCUUUCCGGGUCCUGUGUUUCCAUAGCGUGUCCGUCGGGAGCGGGUGCUCGGGCAGGGCUGGAGUCCUCGCUUUGACCAGGAUCUUGACCUGAUCACUUGGACCUCAUGUUCCUUAUUAGCAAAACAGAGAGAUCUGGCAUCUAGGGAGCCAGGAGGACGCGGGGGGGGGGGCACAGGGAGCGAGGGCGGCUCGGAGGUGCACGAGCCGGCGGCCUGACGCUAGAUCGCACUGGAGACGAGGAGAUGAUUUUAGGGUCCACUGGGCUCGGUGGGUUCUGCCUCAGGGGCCUCACCGCACUGUGGGUCCUGGCUCUGAAGGUCGCUUCUUCACCCCAGGUCUUCCCAGAUGUCCUCUAGGCCGAUACGUGGAGAGGGCAUCUGUCCCCGCCUCUCCUUCUGGCCCAGCAUGAACUGGUGACAAGUAAUUCCCACGGAGCUGGCCUGCGGGCUCAUGCGGUACCCCGGCGGACGGAGCCGAGCCUCCCCGUCGAGGGGCAGACCCUGUGCCAUACCGGAACGCAAAGCUCCCGAUGCCGCAGUGGGCACGUAGCAGGUGCAGCCACGGCGAUGGCAGCCGAGAUACCGGACGUCCUGUCCCCGGCAGUCAGAUAGAAGCAGAGGUCAUACGGAGGCAGAGGUUGAGAACUGAGCCAAAGACCGGCUCUAUCACGUGGCAGCCAGACUGUGAGGAGAAGGAGCCAAGAAGCACAGAUCUACUCGGCGUGAUCAGUGAAGGCGCUCACAGUAUUGUCGCACCGGGAGGGGAUCGGGAUCUUGGCACCUGAUCUGCGGGGUGAAGGUGGGGUCAGAGAAGGUGCUGGGACCGGGCCGUGGCCAGGUUCUCUAGGCCAGUUCCUGGGUGAGGCCUCCUUUGGGGACCGUGAGAGGGGAUGGUCUGGAGAGUGCUUCACGGACCCAACACAGAAUUGGCUCACAAAAAUUAGGUAGACAUUUGGACUGCUUCUGGCGAGAGCAGGCUGGUGUUUUUGGCAGUCAAACCCAGAGGGAGACUGACUUUGCUCACCGAGACCUCGAAACACACAUCGCCAGAACAGGCGAUGAGGCAAGAAACAGAGUUGGUUUUGGGUUCUUACGAUGGGUGUUAAUUUAGAAGGGAGGCACUCGAUCGAUGGGAUUGCUUGCAAGAAGUUAAUGCCACGGGCAUGGGACAUCCCAAGGGCUGAAAAUAAAUGAGUCUGCCAGACCAACCCUCGGGCUGGACAGCGGAAUAUCGCAGUCUACUGGAGGACCGGUAGCUGGAGGAAGGGAGGACAGAGGAAGCACGUCAUGACGACGGCGAUGAUGGCGGUGAUUACAACAAGCAACAUGUCUGUGAGCCUAGCCCUGUUAAAGCCCAUUAACUCACUUACGUGCUGCAAUAAAGUGAGCAAAGUAGGAAGCAUCACCAUCCCCAUUUCACAGAUGAGAAAAGAGAGGCCCAGGGGCACCUGGGUGGCUCAGUGGGUUAAAGCCUCUGCCUUCGGCUCAGGUCAUGAUCCCAGGGUUCUGGGAUCGAGCC